rnacentral:lncRNA from 1 species
UAUCCCUCCAGACUGCAUGACUAUCUAGGUUAGAACAAACACUGUCCAGCUCCCCGAAGGUGCAAAUACCUGGCCCGUUGGCUUCUAGAAGGUUCCGGAAGAUUCCGGUUCUAGCACCUGAACUCUACGGAGGGAACAAUCCAAUGCGGCUGAAAUAAUUUUAUCCUUUGAGAAAUUUAUACAUGUGUACAAUCAAGUCCAGCUCUCCACACUCCUCCCUUCCAGCUCCUCCCAGAUCACCCACAUUUCCACCUGUGCUAUCAAAAUCUUGAACAGCAUUCAACAUUCAGUCAGUAAUAGCAGUCAGUGUAAGUGAGGUUUGCACUGGGAGUAAUUUAUAAUUGGGGUUCUGUUUGUAUGCGUCGUGUUCCUUUCCUUGGGGGGGGGGGGCAACUGAGGAGUCUGUAAAAACUGUCAACCAAGGUUUGUUGCAGCAGGCAGGUGCAACACCUGGGGUGAUGGGCAGACAUGGGACCCAGGGUGCCCUGGUCAUCAACAGCCAGAGUCCCAUCUGCUGAACAAUUGGCAUUUUCUAAACUGUCUUCAAAAGUCUGACCGCCUGGAGUCUCGGAGUGAUGUGGAGACCGGCAUCCUACAGGGCUGGUGCCAGCGACUGCACACUCGGCUUCCUGCCAAGCUUGGGGCCGCAGCAUCCCU